rnacentral:rRNA from 1 species
AACGAACGCUGGCGGCAGGCUUAACACAUGCAAGUCGAGCGCACCGCAAGGUGAGCGGCAGACGGGUGAGUAACGCGUGGGAAUCUACCGAGCCCUAAGGAAUAGCUCCGGGAAACUGGAAUUAAUACCUUAUACGCCCUUCGGGGGAAAGAUUUAUCGGGGUUUGAUGAGCCCGCGUUGGAUUAGCUAGUUGGUGGGGUAAAGGCCUACCAAGGCGACGAUCCAUAGCUGGUCUGAGAGGAUGAUCAGCCACAUUGGGACUGAGACACGGCCCAAACUCCUACGGGGGGCAGCAGUGGGGAAUAUUGGACAAUGGGCGCAAGCCUGAUCCAGCAAUGCCGCGUGAGUGAUGAAGGCCUUCGGGUUGUAAAGCUCUUUUACCUGCGACGAUGAUGACGGUAGCAGGAGAAUAAGCCCCGGCUAACUCCGUGCCAGCAGCCGCCGUAAGAC